UUUUUUUUUGUUCCAGGGAUUGAAGCCUUUGUUUUGUAUUUUUUUUUAAUUUUUUAUUUUGAGACUGGGUCUUGCUAAGUUGCUUAGGGCCAUGCUAAGUUGCUGAGACUGGCUUUGAACCUGUAGUUCUCCUAUCUCAGCCUCCAGAGUUGCUGGGAUCACAGGCAUGUGCCACCACAUGGGCUUACUCCUUGUUUACAACUACCAUAGUUAUCUCCCACUUCUCCUCUGUUCACUCUUUAAAAUAGUCCAAACUUCCUCUGUAACCUACCCUAUUUUCUCCUCACUUAAGAAACUUCAGUUCUACUGACAGAAUUAAAUAAUUUAUGUAAUUCCUAACCUAUUUCUGUUGCUGUGAUCAUUAAUUCUGUGGAUGAGGUGGUAGACACCUGCUGUUGAAUGUCUGAUCUGCAUUAUGGUUGCUUGUUGCUGAUACUGAUGCUGAAUGCUGAGCCCACAAUUCCUAUCCAGGUGGUAAUAGAUGUCAAAGUAGACAGGAGCCAUUUAUUUUAGUACUACAUUGGUCAUAAGCAUUAGUGCUAUUUCUGGCCGCCUUUUUUUCUAGAAAAGGGGCUGGAAAGUGAUUGGGACAUUUCACAUUCACAGAGUAGAGAUCCAGCUGCCAAGCAAUACUCUCAACUCAGCCAAGUAACAGGGAACUUCACUCCUCAUAUGACCUGCCCCCCUUGGGCCUCAACAAAACUUCAACAUAUAUAAUGGGGGGAGACAAAGACCCCUAACUACCAACCAAGCCCCAAGAAGGAACAACCAGAGGGGACCUGGACACUUAUGCAUACCUCAAAACCAUAGAGAAGUCCCUGGAACAAAAAGGAUAACUACACACAAAAGGACCCACAUAUAAAAAGGUGGGAGAGGAAUCCAUCUCAAGUGAUGCACUAGUCCAGGGCUUCUGAAAACUUGAAACAGGCAAACAAAUCUCCCUCCAAAAUUCAUGAUCUCCCAAGAAAGGAAUCCCAGAUAUGGAAGUAGAUGAUAUUCCAGAGAAAGAUUGUAAAAAUCUGAUUUUUAAACUGUUCAAUGAACUAAAAGAAGGUCUAAGGAACGAAUUAAACAGCAGUUACAGGAGAUAAAAGAUCAUUUCAAUAAGGAAAUAGAAAUAUUGAAAAAAAACCUACUACUGGAAAUGAAAGACACUAUGAAUCCAAUUAAAAAUUCACUUGGAAGGGUCACCAACAGAUUGGAUUGCAUAGAAAAUUAGACCUUGAGAACUUGAAGACGGAGUGUAUGAACUUGAAUAUUCAAUAUGCAAUAAAUGGAAAAAAAGUCAUGAUCAGAACAUAUAAGAACUCUGGGACAACAAGACAACAAACCCAAGAGCCAUUGGGAUGGAAGAGAACAUUGAGAUACAGGAUAAAGGCAUUUAGAACCUCUCAGUGAGAUGAUAGCAGAAAACUUUCCUCACAUUAGAAAAAAAGACAUCCACGCACAGGUUGCAGACAGAACUCCAAAUAGGCAAGAUUAGAAAAGAACCUCUCAAAGACACAUCAUAAUCAAAAUGCCUAACAGAAAACAAGGAAAAAUUAUUAAAAGCUAUAUGAGAAAAACAUCAGGUCACUUUUAGAAGCAAGACAAUAAAGCUCAUUCUGACUUCUCAACACAGACCCUAAAAUCAAGGAGGGCCUGGAAUUAGAUAUUUCAAGCUCUAAAAGAAAACUUUUGUCAUUAUAUAUCCUAGAGAUUAGUGCUCUGUCUGAUGUGCAUGUGGUAAAAAUUUGCUCCCAUUCUGUAGGCUCUCUACUCACCUCACUGAUUGUUUCUUUUGCUGAGAAGAAGCUUUUUAGUUUGAAUCCAUCCCAUUUAUUGAUUCUCAAUUCUAUUUCUUGGUCUAUAGGAAUCUUGUUAAGGAAGUUGGGGCCUAACCCCAUAUGAUGGAGAUUUGGGCCUAACUUUUUCUUCUAUUAGGCAUAGGGUCUCUGGUCUAAUUCCUAGGUCCUUGAUCCACUUUGAAUUAAGUUUUGUGCAUGGUGAGAGAUAGAGGUUUAAUUUUAUUUUGCCACACAUGGAUUUCCAGUUUUCCCAGCACCAUUUGUUGAAGAGGCUAUCUUCUCCAAUGUAUGUUUUUGGCAUCUUUGUCUAGUAUGAGAUAACUGUAUUUAUGUGGGUUUGUUUCUGUGUCCUCUAUUCUGUACCAUUGGUCUUUUUCCAGAUGAAUUUCUUGACUGCUUUUUCUAUCUCUAUGAAGAAUGUCAUUGGGAUUUUGAUUGGAAUUGCAUUAAAUAUGUAUAGUGCUUUUGGUAGUAUGGUCAUUUUGACAAUAAAUGGAACCACCAUUUGACCCAGCUGUCCCAUUCCUUGGUUUAUACCCAAAGGACUUAAAAACAGCAUACUACAGUGAUGCAGACAACAACAUUUAUAGCAGCACAAUUCACAAUAGCUAAAUUGUGGAACCAACCUAGAUGCCCAUCAGUAGAUGAACGGAUAAAGAAAAUGUGGUCUAUAUAUACAAUGGAAUAUUACUUGGCAUUAAAAGAGAAUAAAAUCACAGCAUUUGCAGGUAAAUGGAUGGAGUUGGAGAAUAUUAUGCUAAGUGAAGUAAGCCAAUCCCUAAAAGCCAAAUGCGGAAUGUUUUCUCUGAUAUGUGGAUGCUGAUCCAUAAUGGGGAUGGGG
rnacentral:lncRNA from 1 species